GGNGNUGNCAAGAAAUAACAAUACAGGGCUCUUUCGAGUCUUGUAAUUGGAAUGAGUACAAUUUACAUCUCUUCACGAGGAUCAAWUGGAAGGGCAAGUCUGGUGCCAGCAGCCGCGGUAAUUCCAGCUCCAAUAGCGUAUAUUAAAGUUGUUGCAGUUAAAACGCUCGUAGUCGGAUUUCGGGGCRGGUUUGCCGGUCUGCCGAUGGGUAUSCACUGGURGAACBGUCCUUCCUUCCGGAGACGGCSCCUACUCUUAACUGAGCGGGUGUCGGAGACGGAUCGUUUACUUUGAAAAAAUCAGAGUGUUUCAAGCAGGCAGCUCGCUUUUGCAUGGAUUAGCAUGGGAUAAUGAAAUAGGACUUUGGUGCUAUUUUGUUGGUUUCGAACACCGAAGUAAKGAUUAAMAGGGACA
rnacentral:rRNA from 1 species